AUGUCGUUCAUGGGUGUGGAUUUUUCAGAUUCUUGAGCAACGUGGCUGGGUCGACCCAACUUUUUAGCGCAGAGCAGGCCUGAGAGGAGCUUGCUCAGAAGGUGAAAGCUCUGGAUUUGAAAGAAUUAGCUGCUGGCACCAAAGUUUGACCAGUCUGUUAGCACGCUAUGAUUCAGCCUGUGUCUCCUCUUAUACCUGUCCCCACUUAGACCCUCCUCCCCUUGUUGACCUAGAUACAGUAUUUCCCUUUCUUCUACUCCCCAGCCAAGCUUUCUCGAAUAUUCAGAGAGGUCUCCUCAUUCUUCCCUAGGUCCAGCGAUACUCAGGGAGAGUCCAUGAAUUCCUGUCCCAGAGCCAGCACUAUCUGAAGAGCGGCCAGGCUCCUGUGAGGAGGGUAGCCAGUAUGUUCACAGGGUUCAUUGUCCAUCACAUGGAUGCUAGCUGCAUGAGUGUAGGAGAUAUGUCCUCCCUGCUCAGUGCUCUCAGUGAUUCGCUGCGUGACCCUGAGCCCUCAGUCUGCAGUGUUGCUUCUGUCUCUAUCCAGCAAGUGAAGCAAGUCUCUGAGAAUCUGGCUGUGACAAGUGUCCUGAUCUCACUGAGGAGGCUAUUCUGCUGCGUGACCAACCAGAACAGAGAGAAACCUUUGUAUGAGGACAGCCCCUUUAAAAGAAAGAGAUGGCUGGAACUCCAAGAUUCAAAGAUUGCGUGAGAAUUAAUUCAAAAAGAGUAAGAAUAAAACAAGAGACUCCUUACUGGAGGCUUCCA
rnacentral:lncRNA from 1 species